GGGACACGUGGUAUCCUGUCUGAAUAUGGGGGGACCAUCCUCCAAGGCUAAAUACUCCUGACUGACCGAUAGUGAACCAGUACCGUGAGGGAAAGGCGAAAAGAACCCCGGCGAGGGGAGUGAAAAAGAACCUGAAACCGUGUACGUACAAGCAGUGGGAGCCUCUUAAUGGGGUGACUGCGUACCUUUUGUAUAAUGGGUCAGCGACUUAUAUUCUGUAGCAAGGUUAACCGAAUAGGGGAGCCGAAGGGAAACCGAGUCUUAACUGGGCGUUAAGUUGCAGGGUAUAGACCCGAAACCCGGUGAUCUAGCCAUGGGCAGGUUGAAGGUUGGGUAACACUAACUGGAGGACCGAACCGACUAAUGUUGAAAAAUUAGCGGAUGACUUGUGGCUGGGGGUGAAAGGCCAAUCAAACCGGGAGAUAGCUGGUUCUCCCCGAAAGCUAUUUAGGUAGCGCCUCGUGAAUUCAUCUCCGGGGGUAGAGCACUGUUUCGGCAAGGGGGUCAUCCCGACUUACCAACCCGAUGCAAACUGCGAAUACCGGAGAAUGUUAUCACGGGAGACACACGGCGGGUGCUAACGUCCGUCGUGAAGAGGGAAACAACCCAGACCGCCAGCUAAGGUCCCAAAGUCAUGGUUAAGUGGGAAACGAUGUGGGAAGGCCCAGACAGCCAGGAUGUUGGCUUAGAAGCAGCCAUCAUUUAAAGAAAGCGUAAUAGCUCACUGGUCGAGUCGGCCUGCGCGGAAGAUGUAACGGGGCUAAACCAUGCACCGAAGCUGCGGCAGCGACACUAUGUGUUGUUGGGUAGGGGAGCGUUCUGUAAGCCUGUGAAGGUGGCCUGUGAGGGUUGCUGGAGGUAUCAGAAGUGCGAAUGCUGACAUAAGUAACGAUAAAGCGGGUGAAAAGCCCGCUCGCCGGAAGACCAAGGGUUCCUGUCCAACGUUAAUCGGGGCAGGGUGAGUCGACCCCUAAGGCGAGGCCGAAAGGCGUAGUCGAUGGGAAACAGGUUAAUAUUCCUGUACUUGGUGUUACUGCGAAGGGGGGACGGAGAAGGCUAUGUUGGCCGGGCGACGGUUGUCCCGGUUUAAGCGUGUAGGCUGGUUUUCCAGGCAAAUCCGGAAAACCAAGGCUGAGGCGUGAUGACGAGGCACUACGGUGCUGAAGCAACAAAUGCCCUGCUUCCAGGAAAAGCCUCUAAGCAUCAGGUAACAUCAAAUCGUACCCCAAACCGACACAGGUGGUCAGGUAGAGAAUACCAAGGCGCUUGAGAGAACUCGGGUGAAGGAACUAGGCAAAAUGGUGCCGUAACUUCGGGAGAAGGCACGCUGAUAUGUAGGUGAAGUCCCUCGCGGAUGGAGCUGAAAUCAGUCGAAGAUACCAGCUGGCUGCAACUGUUUAUUAAAAACACAGCACUGUGCAAACACGAAAGUGGACGUAUACGGUGUGACGCCUGCCCGGUGCCGGAAGGUUAAUUGAUGGGGUUAGCGGUAACGCGAAGCUCUUGAUCGAAGCCCCGGUAAACGGCGGCCGUAACUAUAACGGUCCUAAGGUAGCGAAAUUCCUUGUCGGGUAAGUUCCGACCUGCACGAAUGGCGUAAUGAUGGCCAGGCUGUCUCCACCCGAGACUCAGUGAAAUUGAACUCGCUGUGAAGAUGCAGUGUACCCGCGGCAAGACGGAAAGACCCCGUGAACCUUUACUAUAGCUUGACACUGAACAUUGAGCCUUGAUGUGUAGGAUAGGUGGGAGGCUUUGAAGUGUGGACGCCAGUCUGCAUGGAGCCGACCUUGAAAUACCACCCUUUAAUGUUUGAUGUUCUAACGUUGGCCCGUAAUCCGGGUUGCGGACAGUGUCUGGUGGGUAGUUUGACUGGGGCGGUCUCCUCCUAAAGAGUAACGGAGGAGCACGAAGGUUGGCUAAUCCUGGUCGGACAUCAGGAGGUUAGUGCAAUGGCAUAAGCCAGCUUGACUGCGAGCGUGACGGCGCGAGCAGGUGCGAAAGCAGGUCAUAGUGAUCCGGUGGUUCUGAAUGGAAGGGCCAUCGCUCAACGGAUAAAAGGUACUCCGGGGAUAACAGGCUGAUACCGCCCAAGAGUUCAUAUCGACGGCGGUGUUUGGCACCUCGAUGUCGGCUCAUCACAUCCUGGGGCUGAAGUAGGUCCCAAGGGUAUGGCUGUUCGCCAUUUAAAGUGGUACGCGAGCUGGGUUUAGAACGUCGUGAGACAGUUCGGUCCCUAUCUGCCGUGGGCGCUGGAGAACUGAGGGGGGCUGCUCCUAGUACGAGAGGACCGGAGUGGACGCAUCACUGGUGUUCGGGUUGUCAUGCCAAUGGCACUGCCCGGUAGCUAAAUGCGGAAGAGAUAAGUGCUGAAAGCAUCUAAGCACGAAACUUGCCCCGAGAUGAGUUCUCCCUGAGACUUAGAGUCUCCUGAAGGAACGUUGAAGACGACGACGUUGAUAGGCCGGGUGUGUAAGCGCAGCGAUGCGUUGAGCUAACCGGUACUAAUGAACCGUGAGGCUUAACCUUACAACGCCGAAG
rnacentral:rRNA from 1 species